AUACUUACCUGGCAGGGAAGAUAUCAUGAUCAUGAAGGUGGUUUCUCAGAGUGAGGCUCAUCCAUUGUACUCCGAAUGUUCUACCCCCUGCGAUUUUCCCAAAUUUGGGAAUUCAACUGUAUAAUUUGUGGUAGUGACAGAUUGCAUUUGCAUUUUGCCC